AGUCGUGCGAGAAGGAGGCUUCGGUCUCUGAGUAGAGCGGCGCACGGGUGAGUAACGCGUGGAUGAUCUACCCUUGAGUUCGGGAUAACGGUGCGAAAGCGCCGCUAAUACCGUAUAACAAUCCAUUUCAUCGUGGGUUCAAAGCAGGCCUCUUCAUGAAAGCUUGCGCUUGGGGAUGAGUCCGCGUCCCAUUAGCUUGUUGGCGGGGUAACGGCCCACCAAGGCAACGAUGGGUAGCUGGUCUGAGAGGAUGAUCAGCCACACUGGAACUGAAACACGGUCCAGACUCCUACGGGAGGCAGCAGUGGGGAAUAUUGCGCAAUGGGGGAAACCCUGACGCAGCGACGUCGUGUGAGGGAAGAAGGCCUUCGGGUCGUAAACCUCUGUCAGAAGGGAAGAACAUCCGGGAGUCGAACAGCCUCCCGGCCUGACGGUACCUUCAGAGGAAGCGCCGGCUAACUCCGUGCCAGCAGCCGCGGUAAUACGGAGGGCGCAAGCGUUAAUCGGAAUCACUGGGCGUAAAGCGUGCGUAGGCUGCUUGAUAAGUCAGACGUGAAAUCCCUCGGCUCAACCGGGGAACUGCGUUUGAUACUGUCGAGCUAGAGUCCU
rnacentral:rRNA from 1 species